rnacentral:lncRNA from 1 species
GAUCUGAACUCUACCUCAAUUUACUGCCAUUUUCCCAUUCUGGAAGCAUCUUUCUGCACCGACAUCAACUCCUGCAGACUAUAAAUUGAAAUCAGCAGAGGUAAGCAGAGGCGAAACAGCCCUGAAACGUGAGAAACAUCCGAGAGGGUUUUCAGACCACAGUAAAGUUUAGUUGAUUAACCGAUCAGUAAGAAGAAAAAGGCCUAGGUUUUUGAAGUGUAUUGUGGUCACUAAGUUUGCUGCAGCAAGGCAGUUGGAAUUCCUCAAAGGCAGGAGUUAUUCUACUCAUCAUCAAUCUACUCAUUAUAAACGCCCUCAUUCCAAUAACAGGAUUCUAUAAUGCCUGCAACUAAUUUCUCAGCUUCACCCUCCUGCUCACAACAUACAGCAGCUAUCUGAGACUUCUGAUACACCAAGUUUGAUACCAGUUUAUUCAUUGUAAUCAAAACAUUACAAAAUCAAUAAUAUUAUCAUUAUGUAUAAAAAUACAAUAUAGACAGAUCAAAUCCCGCUGUAAAGCGCGGGCAAAUCUUGCUAGUUAAUUACGAUGAAGGGGUUUAGGGUUUACCGGUUUAGGAACCGUGCAUUUCAAGAUGAGAUAAUUGCAGACUUUGACCGAUCAGAGAUGGACUUGACCCGUGGGAGGUCGUGA